UUCCUCUCUUAACAAAGCAUUGUACUAGAUUUAGAAUCUAAAUAAGCCUAA
rnacentral:tRNA from 1 species